rnacentral:rRNA from 1 species
UACGUAGGUGGCGAGCGUUGUCCGGAAUUAUUGGGCGUAAAGCGCGCGCAGGCGGGAUAUCAAGUCCAUCUUAAAAGUGCGGGGCUCAACCCCGUGAGGGGAUGGAAACGGGUAUUCUUGAGUGCAGGAGAGGACAGUGGAAUUCCCAGUGUAGCGGUGAAAUGCGUAGAUAUUGGGAGGAACACCAGUGGCGAAGGCGACUGUCUGGACUGUGUCUGACGCUGAGGCGCGAAAGCCAGGGGAGU